rnacentral:rRNA from 1 species
UUUAUGGAGAGUUUGAUCCUGGCUCAGGAUGAACGCUGGCGGCGUGCCUAAUACAUGCAAGUCGAGCGAACGGACGAGAAGCUUGCUUCUCUGAUGUUAGCGGCGGACGGGUGAGUAACACGUGGAUAACCUACCUAUAAGACUGGGAUAACUUCGGGAAACCGGAGCUAAUACCGGAUAAUAUUUUGAACCGCAUGGUUCAAAAGUGAAAGACGGUCUUGCUGUCACUUAUAGAUGGAUCCGCGCUGCAUUAGCUAGUUGGUAAGGUAACGGCUUACCAAGGCAACGAUGCAUAGCCGACCUGAGAGGGUGAUCGGCCACACUGGAACUGAGACACGGUCCAGACUCCUACGGGAGGCAGCAGUAGGGAAUCUUCCGCAAUGGGCGAAAGCCUGACGGAGCAACGCCGCGUGAGUGAUGAAGGUCUUCGGAUCGUAAAACUCUGUUAUUAGGGAAGAACAUAUGUGUAAGUAACUGUGCACAUCUUGACGGUACCUAAUCAGAAAGCCAUGGCUAACUACGGGCCAGCAGCCGCGGUAAUACGUAGGUGGCAAGCGUUAUCCGGAAUUAUUGGGCGUAAAGCGCGCGUAGGCGGUUUUGUAAGUCUGAUGUGAAAGCCCACGGCUCAACCG